GAUUUAGUUACCAAUGAAAUUUCCAGGCUCAACUCAUGCAUACCUUUUCACUUUUUUAACUUUGGUUAUUUGCAAAUUUAAUUUUUGUAAGAAAUUGAAAUUCCAUGAAAUUAAAUGGCUCAUUCUGAAAUCCUUUAUUGUUCUUUUAAGUGCUUUGAAUGCUUGACUUAGCUCUUUUGCUUAUUAACAGAAUGCUUACUUUCUGGGUUUUGAUUUGCUUCAUAGGAAUGCAGAUUGAUCAUGGCUUUUCUAGUACCAAUCUUUUUCUUCAUCCUACUCACCCCCCUCCCCCUUUUUACCAUCUUAUAUAUGAUGACAGUAUAUAUGAUAGCACAACCAAUAUGCUGGUAUUUUUUAAUUUCUACUUUUGUCACACAAGAUGAUGUAUUCUGUUAAUUAAUUUUGAUAUGAUUUUAAUAUCAUUUGGCUUCCUUGUGAAUCUUUAAAAAUAUGGUUUUAAUUUUUUAAAAUAAGGCUUUAAUAUUUUACAUAGUGUCAAGAAUGGAUUUUUCCUCUUGCCUUGUGGCAGGAGAGUAUGAAGCCCUGAGUUUAUCACUUAGUGUACUAGAUUGAAUAAAUUGCACCUAUUGCUAUUGUAAUGACUGUAACUUGAUAUCAAUGCAUUAAUGUCAUUGUUCAUCAUAAUAGUAUUUACAUUCCAAACAUCAUUUAGAGCUUGAUCCUUCAUUGUAACAGUUUGAGAAAUUGGUUUAUAAUUAACUAAUCAAGAGGAAUGAAGGUUUUUAUCUUUUUACUUUAAUAUAGAGAUAUAUGUCCCUUAAUUUUAAGGAAUGAACAAUUCAAGUGGAAGCUAUUUUACUGAUCUGGGAAAUAAAUGAGUUAUUUUUAGUUCUCCUUUUAGGCUGGAGAGAUAUGGGCAAAAACGUUUGGGAGAAAUAUCUUUUGUUUGAUGUUUAUUGAUGUUGUGACACUCAUUUUCAGUAUCUGUUAAAUGAGUGGUGAUAUCUCUUGGUUAAUCAUGUGAUUUAUUCAGUAGAUUUUUGUACUGUAUAUAGUAGACAACAGCAACAAUGAAUCCUUAUAGUUUUGGAAUGAAUGUAUUAAUUACCUAAAGAGCAAAAAAUGCCCUUGUAUUUAAUAACUUCCAAGUCAGUCAUCCAGACUUUAUUGGUAUAAAUUUUAGUUUGAGAGCUGUAAAAUUUAUAGAGAAGAUCAGAGUUAAAGCUUAUUUUUCUAAUUAUGUUUGAUCAUGAUGAAUCAGGGCCAUUUAUUUAAUGGUAAAAUCUUCUGACUUCCCUUAAUUCCUUUAGCUCAAAUUAUUUAAGCAGUUUUUUUUUUUUAAUGAGGAAAAUUUGAUGUUUUUGAAAUGAGAAUUUUACUUGAAUUUGAAAUCUGAUACAUCAAAUAAGACAGGCAGACACUCUGCAUUUUGAUCAUUUUGUUUUCUAGUGGCUAUAUGUUUCCUGCAUUCUCAUGUAUGUAGCUCAAGAUUAUCCAUAUCCAUUUGUGUUACUUAUGCAAAAUUAAGAUCUGUUGCACCAGAGAACUGCUAUGAUCCACUGCUUUGGUC
rnacentral:lncRNA from 1 species